rnacentral:rRNA from 1 species
AUUGAACGCUGGCGGCAGGCCUAACACAUGCAAGUCGGACGGUAGCACAGAGAGCUUGCUCUUGGGUGACGAGUGGCGGACGGGUGAGUAAUGUCUGGGGAUCUGCCCGAAAGGGGGGGAUAACCACUGGAAACGGUGGCUAAUCCCGCAUAACGUCGCAAGACAAAAGAGGGGGACCUUCGGGCCUCUCACUACCGGAUGAACCCAGAUGGGAUUAGCUAGUAGGCGGGGUAAUGGCCCACCUAGGCGACGAUCCCUAGCUGGUCUGAGAGGAUGACCAGCCACACUGGAACUGAAGCACGGUCCAGACUCCUACGGGAGGCAGCAGUGGGGAAUAUUGCACAAUGGGCGCAAGCCUGAUGCAGCCAUGCCGCGUGUAUGAAGAAGGCCUUCGGGUUGUAAAGUACUUUCAGCGGGGAGGAAGGCGACGCGGUUAAUAACCGCGUCGAUUGACGUUACUCGCAGAAUAAGCACCGGCUAACUCUGUGCCAGCAGCCGCAGUAA